UCACCUUCAUGAGGGGGCGGGCAGAACGCCGCUGUGAGAGCGGUCUUUGUCACAGCGACCACCUUUUCUGAUGUCGUGUUGGCUGACGAGUAUUUGACCUUUGUGCUCUGCAGAGGAAGCGGGAGGCGGCAGACAGCGACGGCGAAGCUGCGACGCCUGGCACGCCGUCUGCAGAGGACGUGAAGAAAGAGAAGAAGAAGAAAAAGAAAGAGAAGAGGGCAAAACUGGAGGAGGCGGGGCAUGGCGGUGCAGCCACGGAGCCUGAAGAGGAGGGGGCGGAGCCUACCACAGAGGUCGAAAGUGCCAAGAAGAAGAAAAAGAAGAAGAAACAGAAAGACAGCGACGCGUCAGAGUAAGGACGCCACAUCAGCAGGUGAACAGGAAAUGGACUCUACCCAGUGACACCUGUCUGAACGCAAAGCAUUCUGGGAGUCUAAUAACAAUGGACUGCACGGACGCAGAAAGAAGAGGACAGUUUUUGUUUUUUAUAAAGAUGUUAUGUUUUUGCAGCUGUAAAUACCUGAACAGGAAGCCGUUUGUAAUUUCAAAUUAAAAGUCUUUGUUUUCUGUA